rnacentral:rRNA from 1 species
UACGUAGGUGGCAAGCGUUGUCCGGAUUUACUGGGCUUAAAGGAUGCGUAGGCGGACAUUUAAGUCAGAUGUGAAAUACCCGAGCUUAACUUGGGUGCUGCAUUUGAAACUGGGUGUCUAGAGUGCAGGAGAGGUAAGUGGAAUUCCUAGUGUAGCGGUGAAAUGCGUAGAGAUUAGGAAGAACACCAGUGGCGAAGGCGACUUACUGGACUGUAACUGACGCUGAGGCAUGAAAGCGUGGGGAGCAAACAGG